rnacentral:rRNA from 1 species
CAGGAUGAACGCUGGCGGCGUGCCUAAUACAUGCAAGUCGAGCGAACAGACGAGGAGCUUGCUCCUYUGACGUUAGCGGCGGACGGGUGAGUAACACGURGRUAACCUACCUAUAAGACUGGGAUAACUUCGGGAAACCGGAGCUAAUACCGGAUAAUAUWUYGAACCGCAUGGUUCRAUAGUGAAAGAYGGNNUUUGCURUCACUUAUAGAUGGAYCYGCGCCGYAUUAGCUAGUUGGUAAGGUAACGGCUUACCAAGGCAACGAURCGUAGCCGACCUGAGAGGGUGAUCGGCCACACUGGAACUGAGACACGGUCCAGAC